rnacentral:tRNA from 1 species
GUGGGCGUGCUGGAGUGGUUAUCAGGCUUGACUAGAAAUCAUGUGGACUUUGCUUGCGUGGGUUCAAAUCCUGCUGCUCACG